UGCCCUUUAAGGGUUAGGACGGCACCCUAUGACACUUUUUACGACAUUUCGGGUGAGUUACGAUAGCGACCCUGUGAGAGUCGUGGGCUGAGACGGCCAGGGCUGCAGUGUGAACUAUUUCCUUUCUCUUGGAUUGAAGACCGUUUUGGAUUUCAUUUCAUUUCAUGGACUGACAGAAGGACUCAAACUAACAGAAAACGGUACGAAGGACAUCAUGUAGAUGGCCAUCUGUCAGUCUGGAUCUCAGCUUGGAUUUGUUGAUGGCCAUGGUGGAGAAGGUCUUCUCACAAAUGUAGGGUGUGAGAGACUGGUCGUGUUCUGAGAGACUGUGCCGAGGAACUCACAGAUGUCUUCAUGGACAUCUUCAACACCUCACUGGGCUGUUGUCCCCUCCUGCCACAAAGCCACCACCAUCAUCCCGAUGAAGUCGUCUCCCUCCUGCUUCAAUGACUUCCGCCUGGUGGCACUGACUCCCACCCUUAUGAAGUGCUUCGAGCGGCUAGUCAUGCAGCACAUCAAGUCUUCCCUCCUCACCCUGGACCCUUUCCAGUUUGUGUAUCGGUCCAACCGCUCGACCGAUGAUCCCAUCUCCACUGCCUUCCACUCAAUCCUCACCCAUUUGGAGACAAGAGACUCACACGUUAGAAUGCUGUUCAUAGACUUCACCUCAGCAUUCAAUACAAUCAUCCCUCAGCAGCUCAUUCACAAACUGGACCAGCUGGGGCUCAACACCUCUCUGUGCAACUGGCUGCUGGACUUCCUGACGGGGAGACCACAGGCGGUUUGGGUCGGCAGCAACACCUUCAGCACCAUCACGCUGAACACAGAGGGCCCCCAAGGAUGUGUGCUGAGCCCCCACCUCUUCACCCUGAUGACCCACGACUGCACACCAACAUUCAGCUCCAACCUCUUCAUCAAGUUUGCGGAUGACACGAUUGUGGUAGGUCUGAUUGACAACGAUAAUGAGACAAUCUACAGGAGUGUGGUGAGCCGCCUGGCCGUGUGGUGCAAAGACAACAAUCUCUGCCUGGAGAAGAUGAAGGAGAUUGUUGUGGACUUCAGGAGACUGCACACCCAGCAUGCUCCUCUGACCAUCAACCAUCAACGGUGCUGCAGUGGAGAGGGUGAACAGCACCAAGCUCCUGGGUGUGCACAUCUCCAAAGACUUGUCGUGGAGCAACAACACCAUCACUGGCCAAAAAAGCCCCCAUCAUGUACAGAGGCACCAUCAAGAGCAUCCUGACCAGCUGCAUCACCGUGUGGUACGGCGCCUGCACCGUGUCCUGCCACAAGACUCUGCAGCGCAUCAUGACAGCAGCUGAGAGGAUCAUUGGUGUCUCCCUCCCUUCUGGACAUCUACAACACCCGACUCACCCGUAAAGCCAUCAGGAUUGCAGGUGACCCCACCCACCCAUCUCACAGCCUCUUCAGCCUGCUGCCUCAGAGGAGGAGACUGCAGAGUCUCUGGGCCAAAACCAGCAGGCUUAAGGACAGUUUCAUCCACCAAGCGGUCAGGAGGCUCAGCUCCCUCCCUGCUCUGCCCCUCCUCCCCCUCUGCCUCCUGCCACAGACUUUACCCUGCACACCCCCCUGCCUCCCCUUCAGCAUCUGACAUCAUGUGGGUAGAUUGGAUCAGUAUGACGCAAAGUGGGGCAAAUACUUAAAACUUUUAAAGGACUCCUGAGAGGGGUCACAUAGUGGAGAGAUGAAAAUUUUAGUUAUUUGGAUAAAUAUAUAACAGUGCUUCUUCUUAUUUUCAUUUAGUUAUUUUUAAUUGACCAAAUAUCUAUUUAAUUAAGAGCUUACUUUAUAUUAUAUAUUUUAUAUAUAUAUACACAUACAAUAUUGGAGGUAUUCCUGUUUUUUUUGUGCUAUAGUAUUUCUAUGAACAUAUUUACAUAAACAUAAACAUAUUUUCUAUGUUUCGCUUACACUGAUGCAACUGGUGUAAUGGCUGUACAUGAAGAAGCACAGUGGUAGUUGUUGGCAACCAGAGAUCAGCAUGAAUGGUGGUGGCUUGGGAGGGGUUUGUAUGUUAUUGUAUGGUUCAAAUAAUGAAAAUAAAACUUGUUAAUCUCAAAAAGAAUGAUGACAAAAAUGCGUCUUAUUAAAGAAUAACAUGACUGUGCCAUGAGAAACAUUUUAAUCUUCAUCUGGAGUGUCGGCUUGUUACUUUGAAAGAAUCAAAUGUGUUUGUUAUUUUAGCCUUUAAUCUGAAACAACAGCAAAGCUGCUGGAACAUCUGAUCAAAGCAGAAUAAAUCUGAUAUGAAAUCAAUCCGUCAGUUCAGUUCAGGGUUUGUGACUCUGGCUGAGAUGGAGGUGAAAUAUGUGAACCUGAGCUGUGGUUUACUGCUCUCUUCCUGUCACAAACACUGUUUGACAUCUGCUCAUCUGCUGCUUUUUGUUCAGGCUGCAGGGAUCACUUCUCACUGUGGGCACCACUCUUCACACAGGCACAGUAGUAGGUGGCUGAAUGAAGGAGAUUAACUG